CCUACGGGAGGCAGCAGUGGGGGAUAUUGCACAAUGGGGGGAACCCUGAUGCAGCGACGCCGCGUGGGUGAAGGAGUGCUUCGGCAUGUAAAGCCCUAUCGGCAGGGAAGAAGCAAGACGGUACCUGACUAAGAAGCCCCGGCUAACUACGUGCCAGCAGCAGCGGUAAUACGUAGGGGGCGAGCGUUAUCCGGAUUUACUGGGUGUAAAGGGAGCGUAGACGGCCAUGCAAGCCAGGGGUGAAAGCCCGGGGCCCAACCCCGGGACUGCCCUUGGAACUGUGCGGCUAGAGUGCGUGAGGGGCAGGCGGAAUUCCUGGUGUAGCGGUGAAAUGCGUAGAUAUCAGGAGGAACACCGGCGGCGAAGGCGGCCUGCUGGACCGCGACUGACGUUGAGGCUCGAAAGCGUGGGGAGCGAACAGGAUUAGAUACCCGAGUAGUC
rnacentral:rRNA from 1 species